GGAUAAUUUAUGAGAAUGUUUAGCCCUGUGCUACCGGUGGUUACAAAUGUUUUUCUUCCAGUUGCUCAUCUUCUCAUGAUUUGAUCUACACACUAUGCAUCAGCUAAAACUAAUGCAUUCUAAUACAACAGCCCUCCAACUAUUUCUCCCUCCUUCUCUUAGAUCAGGGAAGUCGACAGCCCAUAUAGAAAUUGGCCAAUGCUACCCCUAGAGUGGAUUUACUCGCAUGAUGAACUUUACUUAUUGCUUGUGAUCUCCUCUCAGACUGCUAUGGCUGGUUCCACACCUGCAGAAUCAAGGUGAACAUUGGAAAACUAACACUUCCAAAUGCUUGCCAGAGUCACUAGAUAUCUUCACUGCAAGAUGAAGACAACCUUUAGGUUAAAGGGCAACAUCUGACUUCAUUUCAUGGAUCAAGAUUUUGGCAAUUGCUUAAAUUCUACCACUGCAUUUCAGGGACAAGUAGGAGGCCAAACAGUUGGUUCAAUAUGCGAUGGGCAAGAAACCUGGUGGCGACCGUGGUGCCAUGAAUACAAAAAGGACACCACUGCAAUUGCUGAUUAUGGGCGGUCGACCUCAACUGACCGAACUGUCAAGGUCAAAGGAGGCUCAUGGAUCUUGGAGAAGAUGGGCGAGGCCUGGGUUCUUAAUAAAGGAGUGGUCAAGCGGUUUCAGCCUCCUGUGACAGUGGAAAUUACCAGCCGUCUUGAGUAAACGUUUCCCUGUAUGUGCAAAAAGCUGCCAUCAGUGUUUGGAAAACAUUCCGGUUGGGUAAAGUAGUUCUGUGAUUCCACGCAGUACGGUCCAGAGAAGGCAACCGGGUCCUGCCUCGGGCUCCCUAGGAGUGGCCAAGCAACUUCAGCCUCCUGUGAAAAUUGCCAGCUGAUGAGAGGGGCAAGCAACUUUAGCCUACUGUGGAAAUUGCCUUAUGCUCCUGCCAACUAAGCGAGUAACAGCACGAUAGAAUACAACUCUCGACAAGGUUU
ensembl:lncRNA